AGCAGUCGCCGCGGGAAUACGGAGGGUGCAAGCGUUAUCCGGAUUCACUGGGUUUAAAGGGUGCGUAGGCGGAUCUGUAAGUCAGUGGUGAAAUCUCCAGGCUUAACCUGGAAGCUGCCGUUGAUACUAUAGGUCUUAAAUUUUGUGGAGGUUAGCGGAAUAUGUCAUGUAGCGGUGAAAUGCACAGAUAUGACAUAGAACACCAAUUGCGAAGGCAGCUGGCUACACAACUAUUGACGCUGAGGCACGAAAGCGUGGGGAUCAAACAGGAUUAGAGACCCCUGUAGUCCCUGUCUCUUAUAC
rnacentral:rRNA from 1 species